rnacentral:rRNA from 1 species
UUUAAUUGAAGAGUUUGAUCAUGGCUCAGAUUGAACGCUGGCGGCAGGCCUAACACAUGCAAGUCGAGCGGUAACAGAGAGUAGCUUGCUACUCUGCUGACGAGCGGCGGACGGGUGAGUAAUGCUUGGGAAUAUGCCUUAUGGUGGGGGACAACAGUUGGAAACGACUGCUAAUACCGCAUGAUGUC